GACAGCAGUCGCCGCGGGAAUACGUAGGGUGCAAGCGUUAAUCGGAAUUACUGGGCGUAAAGCGUGCGCAGGCGGUUAUAUAAGACAGAUGUGAAAUCCCCGGGCUCAACCUGGGAACUGCAUUUGUGACUGUAUAGCUAGAGUACGGCAGAGGGGGAUGGAAUUCCGCGUGUAGCAGUGAAAUGCGUAGAUAUGCGGAGGAACACCGAUGGCGAAGGCAAUCCCCUGGGCCUGUACUGACGCUCAUGCACGAAAGCGUGGGGAGCAAACAGGAUUAGAUACCCCAGUAGUCCCUGUCUCUUAUAC
rnacentral:rRNA from 1 species